rnacentral:tRNA from 1 species
GGAGAGGUGGCCGAGAGGCUGAAGGCGGCGGUUUGCUAAACCGUUAUAGAGGGUAAACCUUUAUCAGGGGUUCGAAUCCCCUCCUCUCCG